rnacentral:rRNA from 1 species
UACGGGGGGAGCAAGCGUUGUUCGGAUUUACUGGGCGUAAAGGGCGCGUAGGCGGUCAGCACAAGUCAGUUGUGAAAUCUCCGAGCUUAACUCGGAAAGGUCAACUGAUACUGUGCGACUAGAGUGCGGAAGGGGCAACUGGAAUUCUCGGUGUAGCGGUGAAAUGCGUAGAUAUCGAGAGGAACACCUGCGGCGAAGGCGGGUUGCUGGGCUGACACUGACGCUGAGGCGCGAAAGCUAGGGGAGCGAACGGG